rnacentral:rRNA from 1 species
UACGUAGGGUGCAAGCGUUAAUCGGAAUUACUGGGCGUAAAGCGUGCGCAGGCGGUUGUGCAAGACAGAUGUGAAAUCCCCGGGCUUAACCUGGGAAUGGCAUUUGUGACUGCACGGCUAGAGUUUGGCAGAGGGGGGUAGAAUUCCACGUGUAGCAGUGAAAUGCGUAGAUAUGUGGAGGAACACCGAUGGCGAAGGCAGCCCCCUGGGUCAAGACUGACGCUCAUGCACGAAAGCGUGGGGAGCAAACAGG